CUAUACCCCAGCUCAGAGCAACGCUGGAUCCUUAACCACUGAGAGAGGCUAGGGAUCGAACCUGCAACCUCAUGGUUCCUAGUAGGAUUUUGUUUCCACUGUGCCACGACGGGAACUCCCUAAUCAUGAUUGUUUUAAUUGUUGCUACAAAAUUGCGUGUCCAAACAGCAUGGAUCCUGAACAGUAGGAUCCUGUGUGUUUGCCAAAGUUGUUUUCCAGGAACUUGGAGUCAUCUGUGCCUAGUUCAAGCUGAGCUGUUUAAGACUGGGUAGGAUGGCUGACCUUGUCAUCCGGGCAUGCAUGAGUGUCUAUUUCGUGACCUUUUGAAGUCAGAGGGCUGAAAAUUCCACCUUCUUAUCAUGCCAAGGCCUCCAUUUUUGAACGCGCAGAGACUGCUCACUUAGUUACACCUUCACAGAACCAUGAUUCCCACAGCUUUUUCCAAUCACCUUUCCCCACGUUCCCCAUACCUCAAACUGCCUGGCUUCUUUGUUUUUUAUCCCAUAAGUAUCCCAGCUCCUUGCCUUUGGGGAGGUGGAUCUGUGAUUUCUUGUCUCCUAUCCGGGCUGCCUGGUGAAUAAAGCCUCUUUGCUGCAGACCUCACAGUGUUUUGGCUACCUUUGUGUCAGGCAAAGUGAGUCUGGCUCAGUAACAGUAGUGGAAUCAAGACUUGCUCUCUUCAUUAAGACAGUCGUAACUUUCCAGGAAUUCUGCUGCAGGAAAAACACAAUUUCCAACUGAAUUCAAGAACAACAUGGAAUUAAUGAGAUUAAAAUGGAAUACUCUUUGAAGAGGCCUGGUCUGUUUUCCUCCUGAAGAUUCUUACUACGUGCGGAGUCGGUAUUUUACAACAUUUGUGGAUUGAACUAGAUGGAAGGAAACUGGGGAGGAGAAGACGGUAGCCCAUAGGCAGACGCAGGUUCCAGGGCUUGACUUGGAACAGCACACCCGGCUUGGGAUGGAAUGAGUAAAUCUGGCACAUACUCUGCUGAGUUGUGUUUUUUUUUGUUUUUUUUUUUUUUUUUUUUUUUUUUUUAGCAGAUGCAUUAUCUCCAGCUCCAUUUUCAAUGUUGUUUCCCAAAUCCAAGCUCAAUCUCUCACCUGGAUGACUGUACGAACUUCUUAACCAAUCCCUCCGCAUCACUUUAACCUCCUCUAGUCCAGUUGCCUACUAUGGCCAAAGGGAUGUUUUUGAACAUGUAAAUUGAACCAAGUGAAAGUCACAGAAAGACAAAGGCUGCAUGAGUCCUUAUUGUCAGACCCAGAAACAGAAAGUAGAAAGGUGGCUUCCAGGAGUUGAGAGCAAGGGGAGAUGAGUUGCCGUUCAUUGAGUAUAAAGGCUCAGCUCUGCAAGAUGAAAUAUUUCCAGGGAUUGGCUGUACAGAAAAUUUGCUUAUAGUUAACAGUACUGGACUGUUCACUUAAGAAGUUUUGAGAAUAAAUUUCAUUUUUUUUUUGCAACAAUGUUCCUAAUUGAGAUUUUUGAUGCUCAAUCCUUGCCCCAUUGAGCAAAGUCUGAGUACAUGAUGCAAUCUGGCAUAUCAGAGACUUAAGAUUUUUGGAGCUGGAGGAAAGGGAAUACAGCCACUAUUUGCUAUAAGAAGCUGACCUAUGGAGGAGUGGAUGAAAUCAGCAGGCAGAGCUGAGAGAGAAGACUUGUGGAGGUGGUCUGGUGGACACUGCGGUUUCCCCUGAAGCCACCUGCGAUUAUUCCCCAUUGGCUACUGGGUAUAUGACCAGUCAUGACCAUGAAAAUGUGAACGAAGUGAAGCAAAUUUUGGAAUAAGACACUGGAAAAUGCAAUAAGACUUUAAAACUCUUCAAUUUUUGUUUUGUUGCUGUUCCUUUGUUUGUUUCCUUUUCUUACCAUAGUAAGGAAGGAAGUCUCAUGUUACAUAUGAUGUAGCUACAAUAUAUGGUACCACCAUCAGCCAGGAAUUUUUGUGGAACAAAACAUCACUGCUAUCCUGUGAUGAGCAUGCAGUAUGAAUCAUAAAUAAACAUUUAUUUUGUUAAGCCACUAGGAAUUCAGGGUUUUUUACCAAGGUAUAAUCUGGCCUACGUUGACCAGACAAUUAUGUGUAAUAUACAUUACAUAAUAAAAGCUUUAGAAGCCCUGUGGUAAAGGAAGCUCUGAAAUUUUUUCUCUCUUAUAUCCCAAAUGUAUUUGACUAUAGAAACCCCCUUUUCCCCCAAAUCUAUUCAUAUUCCUUUGAUCUGGUGUUCUGUGGGGCGCAGUUUAUAAAACACUGAUUUUAAAUGUUUCUUCACCUUACUUAUAUUAAUCAUCCUCUUUAACUGUGUGGGAUCAAGGACUAUGAAGGUUUACUGUCCACUGGAUAAAAGUGUGAAGGCUUUUCUUUUUUAUUAGUCCAAAUUUUACCCUCAGAGUUUUGGAAUAUAGAUUCAUAAUGAACUGAAAAUUUGCAGUCAUGUUUAUGUUUCCUUUAUGACGAUGAGUUUUAAUCAUAUCUUAUCUCAUCCUUUACCUUUUCAGAUGGUUAGGUUAUUCUCCUUGAAAUAACAUUGACAAUAACAACAGUAAUAAUACAGUAGUCCCUUUCGUAAGGUAUUGUCCCCCAAGUCUUUGUUGUUCUUUUCUAGAUUGUCCUAAGUUCUCUAUUCAUAAUUAAUGUACAGGAACUGUCCUUAAAAAAUAUGUUGCAGGAGUUCUGCACAGUGGGCUAAGGAUCCAAUGUUGCUGCAGCUGUGACAUAAGUUGAAGCUGUGACUUGGAUUCGAUCUGUGGCCCAGGAACUGCCAUAUACUGCAAGUGUGGCCAAAAAAACAAACUGUUUUGCAGUGGGUUAUAAAGCGUAAGAAAAAUGUUUUUCUAGUGAGCUUUUGCUGAAAUAUUUAAAAAUUUAGAGUGGACAUAGAGACUGAGUAACGAGAAAAAAAUAGCAGUUCAUUUUAUUUCCUGGUUCUUUUAGAAAUUUGAAAUUUGUUGACCACAGCCUUUCCUCUGAAGCAUAAUUUUUGUAUUCCUCUAAAAUCAUUUCUAUUCUUCAGUCUAUUUUCAUACGCUGACAAGUUGUUCUUUUAUUCGUGUUAGCUUGACAUUGCAUUUUGAAAAGCAAGGUAAGAUUAUCUGAAAUAUUUAGCAUUUCAUUGUAUCAUUUUUUGCAUCUCUUAUUAAAAGUAAUGCAGGACCAAUAGCUGAUGGCUGGAGUGUCCACCAUUGAUACACCUUCUUUUUUAGGGAGUCCAUUUCUGCUCAGAGAAGGAAAUAUUUAUCCAUUUAUUUCCUGUACCUAAGAUAAUUGAUUUUUCUAAAACUUUCUCUUCAAUUUUGAGGCCAUGCACUAAAAUGAUGUUACCUCCUAUCUAGUAUGGGUUGCUAAAGUGUUUAGUGGAUUGGUGUAGAGGCUGCUGAUUUUCUUGAUAUAAAAAUAAGAGUUGCUAUUCUCUCGUUCUGUCACAAGUUUUAAAACCCUUAUCAGGCUUUAUUCCUUCCCAUCAAUACAGAUAUUCAUUAGGAAUUUAUUUGACAUUUUAUUGGGUUUUCUUUCCCUCAAAUGUCAGACCUGCUUCCUUACCUUCAGCUACUGCUUCCAUGUGGGUUAUUCAAAGACCCCAUGUUCAGUCCAGAUCUCAUUUCAUUAACUCAUUUCCUAUUUUCAAAUGUCCCCAAACACAGUUCCAUAAUCCACCAGUGCCUCCACCACUUCAUGUUCAAGGUGUACACGUCCUGCAACUUGCCGCCAUGUUGGAUUUCUCCUCCUUCCAUUUGUCUGGGGACAGUAUGACUCCAGUCCAAGUCGCAUGGGUUCCAGCUUGGUUACCUGCUUCAGAGGGUCAUUUAACACGUCAUUUUUCCUUGUAUUGCAGACAUGCUAAGCCUUUGUUCUAGAUUUAUGGGACAAACUCCCAUUUAAAUACUCUGUCCUAUUCUGUUCAGUGUGUAUGUGUGUAUGUUAGUUUGUCCUGUUCUUCACAUAAGUAUAUUAGAAUUUGCCUGAUCAGUUGCAUCAUUAUUUGGAUUGAUUUUUGAAAACUUGCACUAUAGGAAUAAGAAGUUUAGUGGAGUAAAGGGAAAUAUGAUGCUGGGGUUAAAACUAUUUAGUAAUCUUUAGCUAUUUUGCCUUUCAAAAUAUUAACAAUCCUGAAGAACUCAUGUUUAAUUUAUAGCAAUAUAAGUAAAUUCCCAUCUGAUUGUGUUAUCAUUAUUAUUUCAUAUCAAUUGCUUGUCUCGUUAACUGAAAAACUCAGUAUUGGAAUAUGAGACAGGAAGAUGCCAGUUCAGUGAGGCAUCGUCUUCAUUAUCAAAUAUCUAAGAUGACAGUUCAUUGCACACUUGGAAUGUCACAAAAUUUAUUCUAGUUCCCACUGGAUGUAAAUCAAAAGGUUACAUUGACAACUUGUCCUAGGCUUCUAAAAUAAGAGUCAGAAAUUUAGGUGUAUUCCACACACUCCUACAGUGAAGACUUUGUAGAGAUCAAAGAGUUGAUCAUAGAAUACAUUCAGUAAUAUUGUGUGUAUUUGUUAUGUUAUUAUGAAAUUUGCAGGUAUCUCCAUUUUACAAGUAGUACUGUUUGGAAAUUUCCAAACCCUCAAAUUUAAUUAAUUUUUAGCCAUACUGUAUAUUCUGAUUUGUCUGUGCCCAUUCCUUUUAAAAAACCAAGACAUUUGAGAGUUCCCUUGUGGAUCAGAGGUUCAGCAUCCAGCAUUGUCACUGAAGAGACUCAGGUUGCUGCUGUGGUGUGAGUUCUGUCUCUGACCCAGGAACUUCCAUAUGCUGUGGGCACAGCCAAAAAAACAAAAACAAAAGGAAGACAUUUGGACUUGGAGGUCAAAGAUGUAGUUGGCUUACUAGUUCUGCUAGUGCUGUGACCCUCCAUAAGCUAUAUUACUUCUCUGUGCCUCAACUUUCUUAUUUGUUAAUUGAGAGUAUAAAAGCCAUUUCAUUGUAGUUUUGAGCAAUAAGAUGAAUUAGGCCAAUAAUAAAUGUGAAUAUGCCUACUAUCAUCCCCUAGGUUGGUGUUUAAUAGAUUUUUUUUAAUUUGAUGGAAAUCAAUCCAUAUCCCAUUUCUCAGUAGAAAACACUAUCCUCGUUCAUCAUCACAUCAAAAAGAAUAAAAUUGCUAGGACAUGAUAGCAUUUGAGUUAUUGGAACAAGAUGCCUUAUAUAAUAUAAACCCAGACUAAACAAUUCCAUGUGAGGUAAAAAGGAUCCCCAAACUGGUUUUCCAGAUCACCAGCAGGCUGAAGUAUAGGGUAAAGAUAAUGUUUUAAUUGCUGAAGACCAAAAAUCUUUGUUCUAUUAGGGAAUCAAAUAACUGCCAAAAGGGCUGUUGUGUACUUUUAAGUGCAUGUGUUUACUUUUUUAUAGUUUCUUUUCUUGUUUGUUGUGCCCACAUUAUCUAGGCAAUUUUUGAAUAUUCUACUUUUAUUUUAGCAACACUUCUGAAAUCUAUGUUAAGAUAGCAUAUACUAGAGGAAAGCAGAGGAGAGGGGAAGAAAGGAAGAAUGGUUAGUAGUGGACAUAACAUUUACUAAAAGCCCACUUUAUAGCAGGAAGAUAGUAGGAGUUUUUAUAAAUGCUUUGUUAACUUGAAGGUGUAACAAAUAUCAGUUGUUGCUUUUCUUUCUAAAUAGAAUUCUGAUGUUUUGUGUAGUAAUUUUUUUUUUUUUUGUAUGUGUAGGAAAUUUAUUGCAGGGAACCAUUAGAAAAUAUAACCUUUAAAAUUCCUUCAUGUAUUGGGAUUAAUCUUGGUGAAAUUACCAAGUUGCUUCUUGCUCGUUAGUACAUUGUGAAAAAUAAGAAUCAGUUUAACUCCAGAGCAUUAAAGCAUCAUAGGCCUUUCUGAGGAAAUGUAUUGAUCUUGCAUGUGAAUUGGGAAAGAUUGCCCAAGGCAAAAUUACACCAAAGAAUUCAACUGGAAAACAUGGGCUUAUGUAAAUGUACCAUUCUUCUGCUUAAAUAAAAAUGCUACGGUUUAAUAAUAAUUGUGGUAAUUAUGACACAGCCUGAAGUAAGCACAUUGGAAACAGGAAGUGAUGCUGGUAGCAGUUGCUGUUAUUAUUGAGGACUAAACUAAUUCAGAGGAUGGUGGUUGGGAAUAUUUUAAUAUUUCACUCAGUUGCAAAGUAUCUAGAGAAAUCGCUUGCAUAAACAGCAAUCCAGAAACUCUUUUCUUUAGUGCACAAGGGCGAGGGUGUGGCAGAAAAAAAAAAGAAAUUAUAUUUGUAAGCACACUGGCACUUUCUUGAGAGCACUGUAGUGUCAGAUUCACAUCAGUGAACAUUAUUCUUAAAAACAAAUGCCUAUUAUUCUCUGCCUUGGUGGUCGCUGAGCUAAGAAAAAGGUCAAUUGGUUUUAGGGGGGAAAAUGAAGCAAAACGUGUGAGACAUUGAAGCAGUGAGUGAGAAGUUUUUAAAGGCAGCUCUUAGGUGAGUUUUAUCGCAUGUAGAUUUACUUGCCACUCUGAAUAUUUAAUAUUGCACAGAGCACUUGAGCAGCUUUUGAAGGUUCUUGUUUAGAUGCCUGCAGAGAAAUCUAGUCAAAAUAUAUAGUAUGCUUGCCUAUGCAUCUUGCCCUGGUUCAACAAAACCUCUCACUGCUUUUAUUGUUUUUUAUCCUAUAAAAAGCCCAAGAGACUGACUAGGGAAGUAGACUGCUUAUAAAAUUUUACUCAAGUCCAGCUCUGUAUACAGCAUAUUAAUUUUAAGUUCCUUAAGUUUUUGAAGUAUUUACAAACAAGUCAUGUACAUAAUUUCAAUGUACAGAUAGAUCAAAUUUUUAUUUUAACUUUAAAAGCCAUUUAUUUCCAAGAGAUACAUUUUUAAAAAUGUUUCAUAAAAUACUCAUCAAUACGCCUAGGAAAAUAGGUCUUACUACGUUACUGAAGUCACAUUUUAAAUAAUAUACUUCUGUGAGAUUUAUGUCAAAUCUAAAAUUUGAGGACAGAUGUAUUAACAUGAUUUUAAAAGCUGCUGUGGGCUUAACUUUUAUUGCUUAAUUGAGAGUAUGUGCCACAGCACAAUUAUGCCAAGAACACAGCUUCAGUGAAGGAGAAAAGAUCUUUUGCUGUCUCAAGGGCUAAAACUCUGUUGUUACUUUAUAUUAGGGGAAGGAAUGUGCAUUUCUGAUUUUGAAAAUCAGCAGCUGCAUUCAUUUUUGCCCAGUGAUGAAUGGCCCCUCUAAAGACCACAGGACUUAAGUUUUCCCUGUGGUGUUCCAUUAGUUUUAGAACCGAUUGACUAUUUUCAAAUUGUCCCCUGAAUUGUUAUUAAUUUGAUGAUCUAAUACAGAGUAUAUACUGGCAAAGACAGUGUUCAUUUUUGGCACUGUCUAAACUUAAAAAAAUUGCAUUGCAAUAAAGUAUGAGAAUCUUGCAACUGCAAAUCAGGCUGGAAAAGUUUUCAUGCCUCAUUAACACCUGUGCUAUAAAUUCAGGUUUAACAGUUUGACAAAGUAAUAUUUCAAAUUGCAAUAAUCACAAGAGUGUUUAUUUUAAUAGUUUCAAAUGCCAAGCAGAAGACUGUUAGAGUUAUUAAACAUCCUCAAAUGAAUUCUUUAUGAUAAAAGAAUUACAAUGCAGUUUGCUUGUUAUCCUGGGGAUUCAAAUUGAAUCAUAUCAAUGAACCAAUACUGUCUUUCAAGUUCCACAUGCAUUCUUUCCUUUCUUUCUUUAAUUCUCAGAGCUUUGAAUUUACAUGUGAUAUACACAUAUGAGAAAAUGGGGCAAUAGAUUUUUGACCAUUUUUUAAAAUGGCAUUGGCUUCCAAAAUUGAAUGACAAUUAGAAAGCCUGUCAAAGUCUAAAUAACUUUGUGGACAAGAAGCUCUUUUAUAUAUCCUUAAUCCACAAGAUUCCUGUGAAAUAUUUUGAAAUAGCAAUCAUUAAGUAAAGAAAAAUUUGUAAUGCUACCUAUAUGUACUUAGUGAUUGUAGUCAUAUCAUAUAAUAUGGCUAUUAACUGUGACAAAAUUAUCAAAUCAUAAAUUACACAGGUAAGAAAUCUAGUCUUAUCCAUUUAUUCACAGUUAAGGAAACAAAACAGAAAAGUCAUGACCUUGUUCCAAGAUGAUGUAUUUUCCCAAGAUGACAUCCCACAAAGUGGCAACUACAGCUGGGACUCCAGACUUCUGCUCAGAAUUCUUUUUCCUGUACUGGACGACAGUCUCAGGAGGGGGAGAGGGGAUAUAGAAUCCUUAGAGUAGAUGUCUAUUUUUAAAUAAUUAUAGAUCCACAGAAAGUCACAAAGAUAGUAACAAGAUGGUACCCUUUUACUUUCCUGCAUUGGUUGCAUCUUUCAAAACUACAAAACAAUACAUUGAUAUUGGUGCAAUGUGUGUAUAAUAUAUCGCAUGUAUAGAUUCAUGUAACCACCUCUGCAAUCCAGAUAGAGAACUGUUCUGUCACCACAAACAUACUCUUCCUGCUACUCCUGUCCUUUAUAACCAAACCUGCUGGCACCCACCAGCCCUACCUGUGAUGACUUAGAGCCCUGUGCUGGAAUUAGGAUUCUUAAAUCCAUUGAAGUCCUUUUCAGCCAUUAUUCUUUGAAUAAUCUUUCACAUCUACAAACGUUUAUCUCUUUUUCUGGGAUUCUGAUGACAGGAAUAGUGAAUCUUUUUGUUAGCCUCACAGGUCAUUGAGAUGCUAUUCAUUUUUUUUUCCCCAGUCUUUUUUUUUUUUUUUUUCCUAUCAGUGCUUUAUAUUGUUCCAUCUUUUAAUUUAUUUGUUCUUUCCUCUGCCCUUCGUGUUCUGCUGUUGAGUCCGUCCUUAGAGUUUUAAGACUUGCUUAUAGAAUUUUUUAUUUUUAAAACAUCCAUUUGGCUCUUUAGAUUCCCUGUUUCUUUGCUGAGGCUUUCUAUUCUUUUGUGUUUCAUCACUGUUCACAAUUUCUUAUUGAAUUAUUUUUAUGACAGCUGCUUUAAAAUCUUUGACCCACAACUCCAGCUUCUGUGUCAGCUAAGGGCUGGCUUUGUGUUUAGGUUGAGAUUUUCCUGUGUCUUGGUUUAAUGAGUGCUUUUGAGAUUAUCCUGGAUAUUUGGGGGUAUUAUGUUAUGAGACUCAGAACAUUCAUUACAUAUUCUGUUUUAGCAGUUCUUUUCUGACACUGCACUGCCUUGUGACUGCCAGGUUGGGGGAAAAGUCCAGGUUUCCAUUCAGCCUCUUUUAACACCUCCUGUGGGGAGGGAUAUUUUAUCACUGCUUAGUGGAGGUGGGAUUUUAAGCCCCCUGCUAAGUCUCGGCUCACACUGCCCAAGUGGGAAGGAAGAGUAGGGCUUCAUUUGGCUAGGGUGGAAAUCCAGAACCUCACUCUUCUGCUUCUCUUUGUAGAGGGUACAGAGAGGCUGGAGGCAUGCCUGAGCAGAGCCUGGCAUGGGUGGGAAUAUAGGUUUGGCCUUUGCUGAUGGGCAGGGAGGUGGGUUUUUCCAUAAUGUUUUGCUAGAGCAUUUUCUGUCUUGGUAGGCUUCCUCUUUCCUACUCCUUUGGCAAGAGAAAGCUGGCUUUUGUGGGUAUUCAUUUCUUUGCCUGUGUCUACUAAUAUUUCUGGGUCACUAGUUUCUCCAGCAACCACUCUGGGAUAUGCGAGGCAAAAAAAGAAAACACAGGGAAACCACUGCCCUAUUGUUCCUUAGAUCUCAGGGUCCUUAGGCAGCCUGCCUCCUGUCUCCAAUGUUAGUCUUCUUACACUUGUUUGAUUUAGGAUGCCAAGGGUUUAAUUGCACUUCACAAGAAGGCCUAAUAGUGUGUGAAUAAACUUCAUCUUUGUCUGGAGCUGGAGGACCCAGGUCGUGUGAGAUACUAUGGAAAUGUGUAUGAUAGAAGCUAUCAACUAAAGAAAGGAAAUGGACAUUGGAAGCUGUUUAAGGUGGUGUUGUAGAUGUUUGUGUUAUUUCACAAAUGUUCCAUAUGAAAGUGGUUGAUAUGUCUUUUAAAGUGAUAAUGUUUUAGUUGACAGGGAUGUAAAAUCUGUCAGAUUACAGAUUGUAAUCAGUGGCUAUUGAGAGAUCCACUCUUCUGUCAGCUCUGAUCCAUAUUAACUGCCUUUAGGUGAAGGAAGAUUUUAUUUGUUGGUGAUGUUCACAUCAUGACUUCUGUGGAACACUGACAUAUGGUCUGCCUAGUUAUAGUUAGCUGUCAGUAGACCCUAACAUUGCGCUCGAUUUCAAUUGCGUUCCUGUUAAUCAUCAGUUUAUUUUAUGUUCACAUUAAUUAAAGAGGGUUUUUUGGUUUAAUAAUAUUUAUGUUUUGAGUGUUUUCUAAAAAGUUAGUCCUUCCAAACUGAUUAAAUAACACCAGCAAAAAUAGACAAUGGUUGUUAUUUCUUUUAGUAAUUAAUAACAGGUUUUCAAAUGUG